GCCUCAGCAAUUCUGAGAUUUCAGUUGAGAUUAGUCACAGGUUAGUCACAAAACUGCCUGUUUUGCAAGCCUCGCUGAGUUCGCGCAACACGCUAGACUAGGCUAAGCAGAAUCGGUUUUAAGAUGUACUUAGAAGACGGCUCUGUAAACUCACAGGAUUUAUAGAGGAUUUAUUUCAUGUGUUGCUACCUCCACCCCAAAGUUCAUUUAAAACAAAGUUUUGGCCUUUCCUUAGAUGUUCCAACAAACAGAGCCACAGAUGGAGACUUCGAUGACUUUCAGCCCAACCUUCCUCGCAGGGCUGCUGUGAAGAAAUAUAGGAUGAUGGUGACUAUGUUUAUGUCUUAUGAGUCCAUUUCUUGCUGCUGGAUGAGGGAGUAAAUGAGGGAUCAUUCUUUUCUCAGUGCUAUUGUAACUUCAAGCAGUCAUUAGAUGAAUGGCUGUAAAUUGAGGACAAGUCUAUAAGGAAGUGGUUCUUAAAGAAGAUAUGAUGUGUUGGAAACUACAGAAUGGGAUAUUGCAGAUGACAACGUCUUUGAAACCAACUACUAUUUGUUUUGAUUUGCCAUGGAAGUAAUAAACU